rnacentral:rRNA from 1 species
UAACGACUCUCGGCAACGGAUAUCUCGGCUCUCGCAUCGAUGAAGAACGUAGCGAAAUGCGAUACUUGGUGUGAAUUGCAGAAUCCCGUGAACCAUCGAGUCUUUGAACGCAAGUUGCGCCCGAAGCCACUAUGCCGAGGGCACGUCUGCCUGGGCGUCUCACA